rnacentral:rRNA from 1 species
GCGCGACCUCAGGUCAGGCGG